GAUUAAUUUGUCCCUCAACGAGCUCUUCUAUCUACAACCUCCAAAUCAAAGGUAAGGUGUACAGUUUCCUUCAUGAAUUGCGGGUGUAAUCAGCUGCACACCGCAUAAACUUUUAAAAUAUGAUGGGAGAGGAAGGAGUGAAAACGUAAAAGUGAUCAUAGCCUUUUGCGGUGUCCGAUGUAGCAGGUGCACAUCAGACUGUGGGUCCCGUCUGAGCACUGGAUGAAAACAAA